rnacentral:rRNA from 1 species
GAUGAACGCUGGCGGCGUGCCUAAUACAUGCAAGUCGAGCGAACGGACGAGAAGCUUGCUUCUCUGAUGUUAGCGGCGGACGGGUGAGUAACACGUGGAUAACCUACCUAUAAGACUGGGAUAACUUCGGGAAACCGUCGCUAAUACCGGAUAAUAUUUUGAACCGCAUGGUUCAAAAGUGAAAGACGGUCUUGCUGUCACUUAUAGCUGGAUCCGCGCUGCAUUAGCUAGUUGGUAAGGUAACGGCUUACCAAGGCAACGAUGCAUAGCCGACCUGAGAGGGGGAUCGGCCACACUGGAACUGAGACACGGUCCAGACUCCUACGGGAGGCAGCAGUAGGGAAUCUUACGCAAUGGGCGAAAGCCUGACGGAGCAACGCCGCGUGAGUGAUGAAGGUCUUCGGAUCGUAAAACUCUGUUAUUAGGGAAGAACAUAUGUGUAAGUAACUGUGCACAUCUUGACGGUACCUAAUCAGAAAGCCACGGCUAACUACGUG